GUAGUCCACACCGUAAACGUUGGGCGCUAGGUGUGGGAUCCAUUCCACGGGUUCCGUGCCGCAGCUAACGCAUUAAGCGCCCCGCCUGGGGAGUACGGCCGCAAGGCUAAAACUCAAAGGAAUUGACGGGGCCCGCACAAGCGGCGGAGCAUGCGGAUUAAUUCGAUGCAACGCGAAGAACCUUACCUGGGUUUGACAUAUGCGAGAAGCCUCCAGUGAUGGGGGGUCUCUUUGGACACUCGUAUACAGGUGGUGCAUGGCUGUCGUCAGCUCGUGUCGUGAGAUGUUGGGUUAAG
rnacentral:rRNA from 1 species